ACAUGAUUACAACAUAAUGUUAAUGCACCAGAUCCCAUUAGAACUCUGCAGUUAAGUGCACUCGGGCUAGAGUAGUAUUGGGAUGGGUGACCACCCGAGAAGUCUUAGUGUUUUACAUGCC
rnacentral:rRNA from 1 species